UACGAAGGGGGCUAGCGUUGCUCGGAAUCACUGGGCGUAAAGCGCACGUAGGCGGCUUCUUAAGUCAGGGGUGAAAUCCUGGGGCUCAACCCCAGAACUGCCCUUGAUACUGAGGAGCUUGAGUCCGGGAGAGGUGAGUGGAACUCCGAGUGUAGAGGUGAAAUUCGUAGAUAUUCGGAAGAACACCAGUGGCUACGGCGGCUCACUGGCCCGGUACUGACGCUGCGGUUCGAAAUCGUGGGGAGCACACAGG
rnacentral:rRNA from 1 species